GAACGAGGUAGAUGAAGAGGUCUGGAAAGGCCCGCCAUAGGAGGUAACAGCCCUGUAGUCAAAACUUCGUUCUCUCCUGAGUGGAUCCUGAGUACGGCGGAACACGUGAAAUUCCGUCGGAAUCCGGGAGGACCAUCUCCCAAGGCUAAAUACUCCCUAGUGACCGAUAGUGAACCAGUACCGUGAGGGAAAGGUGAAAAGCACCCCGGAAGGGGAGUGAAAGAGAUCCUGAAACCGUGUGCCUACAAGUAGUCAGAGCCCGUUAACGGGUGAUGGCGUGCCUUUUGUAGAAUGAACCGGCGAGUUACGAUCCCGUGCAAGGUUAAGCAGAAGAUGCGGAGCCGCAGCGAAAGCGAGUCUGAAUAGGGCGCAUGAGUACGUGGUCGUAGACCCGAAACCAGGUGAUCUACCCAUGUCCAGGGUGAAGUUCAGGUAACACUGAAUGGAGGCCCGAACCCACGCACGUUGAAAAGUGCGGGGAUGAGGUGUGGGUAGGGGUGAAAUGCCAAUCGAACCUGGAGAUAGCUGGUUCUCUCCGAAAUAGCUUUAGGGCUAGCCUCAAGGUAAGAGUCUUGGAGGUAGAGCACUGAUUGGACUAGGGGCCCCUACCGGGUUACCGAAUUCAGUCAAACUCCGAAUGCCAAUGACUUAUCCUUGGGAGUCAGACUGCGAGUGAUAAGAUCCGUAGUCGAAAGGGAAACAGCCCAGACCGCCAGCUAAGGUCCCAAAGUAUACGUUAAGUGGAAAAGGAUGUGGAGUUGCUUAGACAACCAGGAUGUUGGCUUAGAAGCAGCCACCAUUUAAAGAGUGCGUAAUAGCUCACUGGUCGAGUGACUCUGCGCCGAAAAUGUACCGGGGCUAAACGUAUCACCGAAGCUGCGGACUGUUCUUCGAACAGUGGUAGGAGAGCGUUCUAAGGGCUGUGAAGCCAGACCGGAAGGACUGGUGGAGCGCUUAGAAGUGAGAAUGCCGGUAUGAGUAGCGAAAGAGGGGUGAGAAUCCCCUCCACCGAAUGCCUAAGGUUUCCUGAGGAAGGCUCGUCCGCUCAGGGUUAGUCGGGACCUAAGCCGAGGCCGAAAGGCGUAGGCGAUGGACAACAGGUUGAUAUUCCUGUACCACCUCCUCACCAUUUGAGCAAUGGGGGGACGCAGGAGGAUAGGGUAAGCGCGGUAUUGGAUAUCCGCGUCCAAGCAGUUAGGCUGGGAAAUAGGCAAAUCCGUUUCCCAUAAGGCUGAGCUGUGAUGGCGAGCGAAAUAUAGUAGCGAAGUUCCUGAUUCCACACUGCCAAGAAAAGCCUCUAGCGAGGUGAGAGGUGCCCGUACCGCAAACCGACACAGGUAGGCGAGGAGAGAAUCCUAAGGUGAUCGAGAGAACUCUCGUUAAGGAACUCGGCAAAAUGACCCCGUAACUUCGGGAGAAGGGGUG
rnacentral:rRNA from 1 species